rnacentral:rRNA from 1 species
UACGUAGGGCGCAAGCGUUAUCCGGAAUUAUUGGGCGUAAAGAGCUCGUAGGCGGUCUGUCGCGUCUGCUGUGAAAACUCGGGGCUUAACCCCGGGCCUGCAGUGGGUACGGGCAGACUAGAGUGCGGUAGGGGAGACUGGAAUUCCCGGUGUAGCGGUGAAAUGCGUAGAGAUCGGGAGGAACAUCAGUGGCGAAGGCGGCCAUCUGGGACAACACUGACGCUGAGGCGCGAAAGCGUGGGGAGCGAACAGG